AGUGAACGCUGGCGGUAGGCCUAACACAUGCAAGUCGAACGGCAGCACAGUAAGAGCUUGCUCUUACGGGUGGCGAGUGGCGGACGGGUGAGGAAUACAUCGGAAUCUACUUUUUCGUGGGGGAUAACGUAGGGAAACUUACGCUAAUACCGCAUACGACCUACGGGUGAAAGCAGGGGAUCUUCGGACCUUGCGCGAUUGAAUGAGCCGAUGUCGGAUUAGCUAGUUGGCGGGGUAAAGGCCCACCAAGGCGACGAUCCGUAGCUGGUCUGAGAGGAUGAUCAGCCACACUGGAACUGAGACACGGUCAAGACUCCUACGGGAGGCAGCAGUGGGGAAUAUUGGACAAUGGGCGCAAGCCUGAUCCAGCCAUACCGCGUGGGUGAAGAAGGCCUUCGGGUUGUAAAGCCCUUUUGUUGGGAAAGAAAAGCAGAAGGUUAAUACCCCGCUGUUCUGACGGUACCAAAAGAAUAAGCACCGGCUAACUUCGUG
rnacentral:rRNA from 1 species